rnacentral:lncRNA from 1 species
AAGCGAAUGGUAUAAUCAUUGACUCUUUUAUUUUACGAAUAAUUCAGUUGUAUUACUAAAGCGGAGAGUGGAUAUGCAUGAAAGUCAGAUUGUAUUGAUACUCAGCAAAAACAAGGUAACUUAUCAUUACUAAUCAAUCCUUUUCUUUUACUGAAAGGCAAGUUGCUGUUGUGCUGGAGCUGAGAAGAGGUCUGCUGCCUGCAAUGGGUCCAUCUCUCUCAAGUUAUCGCAGUAGUGUAGCUCUCAAAGUUCAAAAAAGUAUGGUGGAAGCUGUUGCCAAGGUUCCGACCAGAAAAGACAGCCAGUAUAAAAGGGUCCACACCACUGAUCUCUACUACAGGGGAUGGACAGCACAUUGAGCACCCUCGACUGAAGCCAACCUUGUCCCGGAAGUUGGUGCUUCACAACUUUGCAGCAGCACUUCGUUUGCACGGCCUGUGGAGACAAGGUUUCUUUGACAUGGCCAUGGCCCUCAAGGAAGAAGCCGAGGCCACAGGCAGUUCCUCCAGUGACCGUGAAAAGGUCCCCUGGGGCACAAGUCUAAUUUGGCACCCCUACCUUUCUCCUGCAGCUUUUCUGUCUACAUAGCU